UAAACUAGGAUUAGAUACCCUAUUAUAUUAAAGUUAAAUUUAUGAAUACUGAGUUAUUAGUAGAUAUUUCUUAAAAUUUAAAGAAUUUGGCGGUAAUUUAGUCUUGUUAGAGGAAUUUGUUUUUUAAUCGAUACACCACGUUAUAUCUUACUUGUUUUAAAUAGUUUGUAUACCAUCAUUAUUAGAUAAUUUUAAAAGAAAAAAUUAUUAAAAAUAAAUAUAUUAAAAAAAUUAGAUCAAGGUGCAGCUGAUAAACAAGUUAAAAUGAGUUACAAUAAAAUUUAUUUAUACGGAAUAAUUUAAAAAAUUAAAUUAUAAAGGUGGAUUUAAUUGUAAUAUAAGUUUAAUAAACCUAUAAGAUAUAAGCUCUAAAUUAUGUACACAUCGCCCGUCACUCU
rnacentral:rRNA from 1 species